rnacentral:rRNA from 1 species
CUUUUACAAUGAAGAGUUUGAUCCUGGCUCAGGAUGAACGCUAGCUACAGGCUUAACACAUGCAAGUCGAGGGGCAUCAGGAAGAAAGCUUGCUUUCUUUGCUGGCGACCGGCGCACGGGUGAGUAACACGUAUCCAACCUGCCCUUUACUCGGGGAUAGCCUUUCGAAAGAAAGAUUAAUACCCGAUGGCAUAAUGAUUCCGCAUGGUUUCAUUAUUAAAGGAUUCCGGUAAAGGAUGGGGAUGCGUUCCAUUAGGUUGUUGGUGAGGUAACGGCUCACCAAGCCUUCGAUGGAUAGGGGUUCUGAGAGGAAGGUCCCCCACAUUGGAACUGAGACACGGUCCAAACUCCUACGGGAGGCAGCAGUGAGGAAUAUUGGUCAAUGGGCGCUAGCCUGAACCAGCCAAGUAGCGUGAAGGAUGAAGGCUCUAUGGGUCGUAAACUUCUUUUAUAUAAGAAUAAAGUGCAGUAUGUAUACUGUUUUGUAUGUAU